UCUCAAGAUGAAAAUAAUUGUAGUACUAAGACAUCAUCGUUGAGGUUGAGAUUCAAGAAUUCGUGUUUGAGGAAGAAAAAGAGAAUAUACAAAUUGCGCAAUUGGUUCAUUGACUCAAUUUUAUUCAAGAUUGCCUCUCUCUUUGAAGCAAUUGUUAUGGUUUCUACCUUAGCUUUCUUCUUAUUCUCUUAUGGUUUUCGUAUUUGAUUCGUAUUUAUAUUUUUAUAUAUAUUCUCUGUAAACCAAGGGUUCAUUAUUAUUGGACAAAAGUUGAUAUCUAAUAGGGGUAUAAGGUUCAUUUGAUUUAUUAAUUUAGUUUUCUUUAUUGAUAUUCUCAUGUUUAUACACUAGGAUUCCCAUUUUGCCGUUUAGUUUUUCGAUUUAGAUAUUUUCAAUAAAAUACAUAAUUCAAUAAAUAAGUAAAUAACAUAUAUAAUGAGAUUUUAACAUCAAAAUAUGAGAUUUUGAUUGGUAAAUGGUAAGAUUUUCAAGAACUCAAAUUUUUAGCUUAAAUGGAGAUUUUGACCUCCAAGUAGGUCCCUUUUCAAAAUAAUUUUUCACCAAUGAGUUUCUAAAGUUUUGAGUAUUGCUUUCAAGUAUUAAAUUUCGGAUUCAAACUUUUCCUUUUGAAAUUGGGUUUGAGUGAGUUGACCCAUUGUGCUAAGCAAUUGAUGUGGGUAUUGUUGUUUCCGGAAAGUGAUUGUGGAUACUUGCUUGUAUAUUGAUUGAUUUAAGACAAGCGAUCUCCUAAACCUUGUAUUCUAGUAGAAUCGUGUAUUCCCUUUGUUGUUUGUGUAUUGGAAAUAAUGGGGAUGGGGUGAAAGGUUAAUUGUCCACUUGAUAAAUCUUAAUGGAUAGAAAGGGUUGAAAUUGAAAAGGUUAUGUGAUGAACAAGAUGAUGUGAAUUGCCUUGUUGUGACCCUUAUUGAUUGAUUGAUGAAAUGCUUGAUAGCAUAAAUGUGGACUUGAUUUGCAUGAAUUAUUGUCUCUUCCAUGUGGUGUGAUAUUGCGUGUGUGCAUUGAUGGUUGAACACUGUGAUGUGGCAUGUGAUGUUUAUGAUUCUGAGGUCAUCGCCGGUGAGUGCUAUUAUUCCUAGGUCAUUUCCGGCAAGUGUUGUGAUUCCAAAGUCAUUUCCGGCUAGAGGAUUGAUAUAAAACCGAUGGAAAAUGGUUCCGGCUAGAGAUAUGGUACCGAUGCUACUUGAUUCGUUUGAUUGUUGAAUUGUGACUAUUGAACUGUAAUUAUUGAGCCUUGCGAGUUGUGCAUUGUAGAACUGCUAGGUUGGGCUGAUUUCUGUGAAAGUUGUAGUAUGAGGAGGUUCGAUUGGAAUGUAAGGGGUAUUCAAUUUCUAGGUAGAUGCCUUGUUUAUUAGGUUGCACUCCUUAUUUCUACACUUGUGUAGGUUCCGAGCCCGGUUUAGCGUGAUCGUCCUUCUUCUCUUACCUUUUUAGGCUUAUCAAAGGACUAUCGAGAGUAACUUUUGUCAUCCCGGCGGGCCCUCUUUUCCUUUUCUUUAAGCUUUGUUCUAAUUGAGAAUCAAAGAUUGAGAUUUGUACUUAUUUCUUAAUUUCACACUUUAUGUAUUUAGUGGUUUGUACACGUGACAACAAGAUUUUGAGGGUUUUAAUAGAAAAAAUAAGUUUUUCUGUUUUAUCUUGUUCUUGCUUUAUUAUUUUCCGCAUUUCUUUCAUUUUCGUUGGGUUGAGACUAACUUGUCUUGGUGGGAAUAUACAAGUGUCCUCGCGUCUAUGUUUGGGUCGUGACAUCAUCAUAGAGUAGUUCCUUAAAUCAUGAUUCAUACAUGUGUGAGAAAACUAUUGACCAAUCAAGAUUUCUUAAUAUGUGAGAAAACAUUUCACAAUUCAUGCAUAUGUGAGAAAACCUUUCAUCGAUGAUUUUCUUAAAGGCAACCUUAAUUCAUAAAACUUAAGCAUAUAGCAUGAGAGUUGAGUAAUUUGAAGGAAAAAAAUGUGUUUGCAACAAAAGUAGAAAUUCAUAUCUUCCCAAUAAAUUAAAUUAGGAAAAAGGAAUAAAGAAGAAUAAAUUAUAGUGUUGACACUAUACAUCUCAACUUAGGUUAGUACAUAAUUAACACAUUUAAUCAUCGUUUAUAAUGUUUUGAACCUGUUAUUAUCAUUUCAAAGUAUAUAGCCGCUAAUAGUACUUAUUAUUAUUAUUAUUAUCAACAAAUUAAAGAGAGGGUCUCCAUAGGCAGAUUUUUGAUAGAAUUUAUUACUAGCUAAUAUCCCCAAGUUAUUUUUAUUUGUUAAUUUAUUACAUAAGAUAAAUUUAUUUUAUUUUCAAAAUAAAAAUCUCACUUUUUAUGAAAAUUAUUUAUAACUAUAUUCUAGAUAACUUGAUGAUAUAAUAAUUUUUUUAAAAUAUAUAUAUUAAUCUAUGAUAUUACAAGUAAAUAUUAUUUUUUUCUAUUUGAGCAACAAAUAGAAUAAAGAUAUAUUAAUUUACACAAUCUCAAAAUUUUGAUGUGAGGGCAGAUAUGGUAAAGUUGAUAAUAUAAGAUAUAACAGUAGUUUUUGUUGGGAAAGGCAAGGCACUAUCAAAGAAUGCUCGGAAGGAUAGCAGCGGAAAAAUAUCAAAGUCUAAACUUUCCCUUACAAUUUGAAUCAAUAGAAGAAAAAACUAAAUCAAUCAAUACGAAGAAUCGACAACAAGUAUAUCAACCAAACAAAAACAAUAAGAUAAGAAUAAAUCAAUCACACAAGACACAAAGAUUUACAUGAAAAACUCUUCGAUGUGAAGAGUAAAAAAUCACAGGACCAAAAGCUCCACUAUAACCCCAAGAGUUGCAAUAUUGUUCUCCAAAAUUGGCCACAAAAGAAGUGCCAAAUAACUAGCAAUAACGAAAUAAGAUUGCACCAAAACUAGAGAAUUAAAGGAGAGAAUCCACUAAAAAAGAGCUAUUGUUCACACCCCAAAAUCAAAAGCUACAGAUAACUAAAUCUAAUCUCCACCGUUGAAAUACAAGAAUUAUAUAGUGAAAACUCCCGGUUCAAAUUUGUGUACGAUCCAACGGUUAACGAAGUGAAGUACUCUGUUUAAAGUGGACUGCCUGUGCAGAAAAUUCCUUGAAGCAAAAACAUGAUUUUUCUCUUUCUCUCAAUCUCUAAAACAACUCUCUCUUGACUUUUUUCUCUCAUUUGUCUCAAAAUAAUACCUAAAUAAGCCUUAUAUAUGCCACAUAAUAUUGGUAUUAUGGGUUAAAGUGGCUGGUCUAAAUAAGACUUUUAUUUAUCCACACCGAAAAGAAAAAAGAUCCUAAAUCCAACAAUUCUCCGCCUCACAACUAUGUGGAGGAGACCGCCAUCCUGGCGAUCAAGCAACAUUCUUUAAACUUCCCUCUUAGCAAAACUUUAGUCAUCAUGUCAGACCCAUUUUCAUCUGUAUGAAUCUUUUCAAACUCAAGCAACUUAGAAUCCAACACAUGUCAAAUCCAAUGGUACCUUACAUCAAUGUAUUUAGACCGACCAUGAAACAUAGAAUUCUUGCCAAGAUGAAUAACUCUUUGACUGUCGCAAUAAAGCACAUACCUCUCUUGAGCACAACUAAGUUUUCCAAAAAUCUCUUCAUCUAGAUCAACUCUUUGCAAGCUUCUACAAAAGCAAUAAGCUCGGCUUCUGCAGAUAAAUCAAAGCAUUUUUGCAACCUAGAUUGCCAUGACACAGCUUCCCUUGCAAAAGUAAUCAAGUAGUCUGAAGUAAACUCACGAGUAUCAACAUUAUCAGCCAUACCAGAAUCAAUGUAACCACAAAUAAAAGGAUUCCCUAUACCAAAACACAAACUAGAAGUGCCACAAAGAUAUCUCAUAACCCACUUCACUGCAUUCCAAUGUUUUCUUCCCAAAUUAGAGAGAAAACGGCUAACAACAACAACAACGUAUGCAAUAUUCGCUCUUGUACAAAUCAUUGCAUACAUCAAACUACCAAAAGCUGAAGCAUAAGAAACUUUCUUCAAAUCUUCCCUCUCAUCAUAGCUAGAAUGACACUGCUGCUUCAUGCUCAAUUUGAAGUGCAUAGCUAAAGGUGCAUUGACAACCUUAGCUUUGUCGAUGUUGAAUCUGCGAAGUACUUUUUAAAUGUACUUCUCUUGUGAUAACCACAACUUCUUGUCCUCUCUGUCACAGACAAUCUGCAUACCAAGAAUCUGCCUUGCUGGUCCCAAGUCUUUCAUAGUAAAAGACUUACUCAACUCUUGCUUUAACUUCUGAAUCCUGCAAGUAUUAUGACCAACAACAAGCAUGCCAUCAACAUAAAGCAACACAAUAAUAAAGUCACCACCAAAGAAUUUUUGCACAAAAACACAAUGGUCUGAAGAAGUCUUCUUGAAGCCCUACUGACUCAUAAAAAAAACAAACUUUCUAUACCAUUUUCACUGUAUUCCAAUGUUUUCUUCCCAAAUUAGAGAGAAAACGGCUAACAACAACAACAACGUAAGCAAUUUUCGCUCUUGUACAAAUCAUCGCAUAUAUCAAACUACCAAAAACUGAAGCAUAAGAAACUUUCUUCAGAUCUUCCUUCUCAUCAUAACUAGAAUGACACUGCUGCUUCGUGCUCAAUUUGAAGUGCAUAGCUAAAGGUACAUUGACAACCUUAGCUUUGUCGAUGUUGAAUCUGUGAAGUACUUUUUAAAUGUACUUCUCUUGUGAUAACCACAACUUCUUGUCCUCUCUGUCACAGACAAUCUGCAUACCAAGAAUCUGCCUUGCUGGUCCCAAGUCUUUCAUAGUAAAAGACUUACUCAACUCUUGCUUUAACUUCUGAAUCCUGCAAGUAUUAUGACCAACAACAAGCAUGCCAUCAACAUAAAGCAACACAAUAAUAAAGUCACCACCAAAGAAUUUUUGCACAAAAACACAAUGGUCUGAAGAAGUCUUCUUGAAGCCCUACUGACUCAUAAAAGAACCAAACUUUCUAUACCAUUUUCUAAGAGCUUGUUUCAAACCAUACAAGUUCUUCUUCAAUUUGAAAACAUAAUUCUUUUUACCCUUUACUUCAAAACCUUCUGGCUGCUCCAUAUAAUUUUUUUCAUUCAAGUCAUCAUGGAAAAAAGCAGUUUUAACAUCCAUUUGCUCAACCUCUAAAUCUAGACUUGCAGCCAAGCCUAGAUUCACACAAAUGGAUGACAUCUUCACAAUUAGAGAACAUCUCAUCAAAAUCAACUCCCAUUUUCUGGUUAAAUCCCUUCAGAACUAAUUUAGAUUUGUACCGUAGAAUUGGAAUACCUUCUUCAUGUUUACCUAGAAAAUCCACAUGUUUUUAAAGCCUUUCGAUAUUUAGGUAACAUAACCAAAUUGAAGGUGUGAUUAUCAUAUUAGGAUUUAAUUUCAUCUUCCAUUUCAUUAAACCACCUUUCGUUUUAUUCACUUUACAUGGCCUCAUCAAGACUCUUAUCUUUUCCCCCAUCAGUCAAUAGUACAUACUCAUUAGGAGAAUAACGAGAUGAAAAAAUUCUCUCUCUAGCAGGUCGUCUGAGAGAAAUCUCCGAAUCAUCAAUAAUUGGUUCUGGGUCACCAACAUCAUCUACCAAUGGAGAAUCAACAACAUCAUACUGGUAAUUUUGAACAUGAUCACCAUCUUCAUUAACAACUUGACUUUCAUCAUUAUGAAGAGUUUCUUCAGUGCAAUAGUCAAAGGAACUGGAUCAACAUCAAUUAGGCUCUUAGUGCUCUGAGAAUCAACUUUCUUGGCUUUGUCAAGAUCUUCAAUUGUUUGGUCUUCAAAGAACACAACAUCACGACUUCUAACAGUUUUUCUCAACUAGCCAAAUUCAUCUUGAUCAUAACAAAGGUACAUUGCCUAGUUUUGACAUACAACUUUGACAUCUCAUCCUUAGCAACAUGCACAAAGGUUUUACACCUAAAAACUUUAGGAUGAUCAUAAGAGACAUUCUUACCAGAUCAAACUUGUCAGGGACAUGACCAUUCAAAGCAAGAGUAAGAGAUAAAUUGAUAACAUAGGUAGAAAUAUUAAGUGCUUCCGUCCAAAAGGAAUCUGGUUGUUUAGCAUCUGAAAGCAUACAUUUAACCCUCUCAAAUAGAGUUUUGUUCAUCCUCUUUGCUAAACCAUUUAGCUAAGACAUAUUUGAAGGAUUUUUUUUAUGCCAACUACCCUGCUCACUGCAAUAUCUAUCAAAAGAAUCAAUAUACUCAUCAUCAUUAUCAAAACGGAUGUGUUUUAAUUUCCUUCCUGUUUGUCUCUCAACCAAGGCCUGAAAACUCUUAAACGCAUCAAGGACUUGACCCUUGAACUUCAAAGAGAAUACCUAGAGUUUGCAAGAAUGAUCAUCAAUAAAAGUCACAAAGUAAAGUGCACCACCAUGAUACUUUUCCUUAAAAGAACCACACAAAAUAAAAUUUACCAACUCCAGCAAAUCAAGCUUCCUUGAAGGCAUAUGACUCUGAAAAGAAACUCUUUUUUGUUUAUCGGCUAAGCAAUGAACACAUUUGUUCAACUUUUCUUGUUUCACUCCAGAAAGCAAAUUCUUCUUAGUCAAUUUUUUCAUUCCCUUCUUGCUCAUAUGACUCAGUCUUUUAUGCCAUGACUAUGAUGAAGUAUCAUUCUCCACCAAAUUUAUCAAGCCUAUAAAAAUGGAGCCCUAGAAUACGUACAAGUUAGACAACUUGUCACCACAAUCCAAAACCAUCGAAUCUCUAGUAAGCUUCCACUGGCCAGCACCAAGGGUAUAAACAUAACCCUCAUCAUCAAGGUAUCCCUCAGAAAUCAAAUUCAAGCGAACCUCUAGAGGAUGUUAUAAUAUUAUUGAAGACUAGUUUGGAUCUAUUGUUACUUUUCAAACAAACAGUCGCAAUGCCAAGAACUGCAACCUCAUGAUUAUUGUCCAUUUUCAGCAUGCCACAAUUACCUGGAGUAUAAGAAGAAAAUAAUUUCUUUUUUGGAGUGACAUGAGAAGUAGCACCAGACUCCACAAACCAGCUAAACUCAUCACGAACAAGAUUGACAAAAUUUUCAUCACAAAAAUAAGAAGAUCAUCAUUAGCAGCAACAACAACACAAUUUUCAUUAUCGCCUUCUUUCUUUUGUUCUCUCAUAUAUCACUUAUACCUAAAGCAAUAUUUUUUUAUAUGCCCAUUCUUGUGGCAAUAGUCACAUGUAACAUUCUUAUAUUUAGACUUUGACUUACCUCUACUUUUAUAUCUGCAUUCUAACCUCUGAACUUGCUUCUCCCCUGUCUUCAGUAACCAAAACAUCGAAGUGUGAAGUAGAAGAAGAUAAGCCUUGAGGUCUUCUUCUCUUCUCUUCAUUCAAGACAUCAUUCUUAGCAUAUUCUAUAGUUACAACACCACUAGGAGCAUAAUUAGUCAAAGAAAUUCAAAGAGUUUUCCAAGAGUCUGGCAAAGUGUUAAGAAGUAAAAGUCCAUGUAUCUCUUCAUCGAACUUUUCAUUCAUUUCGGACAACUAGUCAAGAACACCUUGAAAAUUAUUAAUAUGAUCAGAAAUAUGAGUGUCCUCUUUAUACUUGAUGUUCAUUAAUUGUUUAAAUAGAAAUAACUUAUUGUUGUCAGUCUUUGAAGCAUAGAGUGUCUCAAGCUUGUCCCAAAAUCUUCUAGCAUGUGUCUUAUUCACAAUGUGAUUUCUAACAUUAUCUUCAACCCAUUGUCUGAUAUAGCCACAAACAUGUAAGUGCUCAAAUUCUUAUUCCUGAUCCAUCAUGGAUUGAGGCUUAUUAGAAACAAACACAGGUAAAUGCAUCUUUUUUUAAAAUAGAAGAUCUUUCAUCUUGCCUUUUCAAGUAUGAUAGUUACUACCAUUCAAACAAACCAUCUUGCUCAUAUUUUUCUCCACCGUUCAAAUCGAUAAUCAACAAUAACCUUAUGCUAUGAUAACACUUUGUUGGAAAAGGAAAUGCACUAACAAAGAAUGCCCGAUAAUAUAGCAACAGAAAAAUACCCAAGUCUAAACUUUUCCUUUAAGUUUGAAUCAAGUGAAGACAAACUAGAUCAAGCAGUACGAAGAAUUGACAUCAAGUAUAUCAACCAAACAACAACAACAACAACAACAAGAUAAGAAUAAACAAACACACAAGACACAAAAAUUUACAUGGAAAACCCUUCAAUGCGAAGAAUAAAAACCACAUGACCAAAAGCUCCACUAUAAUAACCAAGAGUUACAAUAUUUUUCUCCAAAUAUAGCCACAAAAUAAGUGUCCAACAAUGAGUAUCAACGAAACAAGAUUGCACCAAAACUAGAGAAUUAAAGGAGAGAAUUCACCAAAAAAUGAGCUACUAUUCAUAACAAAAAAUCCAAAUCUAAAGACAACCAGAUCCGAUCUCCACCGUUGAAAUGCAAGAACCAUAUGUUGAAAACUCCCAGUUUAAAUUUGAGCACGAUCCAAUGGUUAACGAAGCAAUAAACUGUGUUUAAACUAGACAACUUGAGCAGAAAAUUUCUUGAAACAAAAACGAGAUUUUUCUCUCGUUCUUUCAAUCUCUAAAUGCCUCUCUUUCUAUUUCUCUCUCUUGUGUGCCUGAAAAUAAGACCUAAAUAAGCCGUAUAUAUGCCACAUAAUAUUGACAUUUAUUUAUUCACAUAGGAAGGAAAAAAUCCUACACCCACUAUUUUAACUCAAACUCAAUAUUUAUUUUAAAUUUUAAUCAACAUCUAUAAAUUUUCAAUUUCAAAUGAUCAUAUCAAUUAACUUAAAGAAUGUUAUUUUCUCUCGUUCAUAACUUCAUAUUGAAUUGUGCUUUUAAUUUAGGCAAACCCCUUUUAAAAUCUACUAUUUUCUAAAAAUUAAAAGUGUAUCUUGGUUUAAAUAUAAAAAAAUCACUUAUCUAAAUAAGGAUAAUAAAAAAGAAAUAAUUAAUUCCUUUUUAGUUAUGUGAAACACUAUUUAUUUUGAACUAAAAUAGAAAAAUAAAAUUAUCAUUUAAUUAGACUAGGAGGGAGUAAAAUAAACAUCAAAUCUUGUAUUAGGCACACAUUAUUUAUACGCUUCCUUGGAGUAGCAUCCAUCCUCCUACUUUUUUAUUUUUGACUUUUCCAUAAAAAUACCUUUAUUCCAAUCUUAUAUAUCUAUAUAUACCAAAACCCCUCAUUGACUAAUUAGACUUUCCUAUUUCAAGAAAGAAUGAAUUUUGAGGAUUCAUAUCACAUUAGAUUUAAUCUCGAUCAAAUAGUUGAAAUUCAUUUCAAGAAAUAAUUGAUAUUUGAGGAUUCACACCACGUUAGAUUUAAUCUCAAAAGUUGAUCAAAUUUAUUCUCCAGACUCUAUUUCGACUUGCCUUGUACACACGUGAGACAUAUGAACCUUGGGCUCUGAUAUCAUUUGUCACGAUAAAAAAUGCACGUGAUGACACUCAUUUUAUCCCACCGAGACAAGUCAGCCUAACACCCAAAACUACAAUACAAAAUGUAGAAAGUAAGCUAUCAAUAACAUAAGUGUGAAAAAUUUAGAUAAAAUACAUAACUACCACCAAAAUCUGGUUGUCACGUGUAUAAGCCACUAAUGUAUAAAAGCACUUGAAUAGAACGAAGCAUAAAAUAAGGAAUAAGAGGACCCACCGGGAUGACAAGCAACUACCUCGCAACGUGUCCUCAAAAGCCUUAGAAGAAAUGUCACACAAGUCUAGGUCCGAAUCUACACAAGUGUAGAAGCAAUGAGUGAGUACCAAUCAACACGGAACUCAACAAGCAAUCCAAUAACACAAGGUAAAACUAGCCUAGAUUACAAAUACUCAUUUCAUCCCAACCGAACCUCCUCAACUAAAACCUGCACAGAAAUCAGUUCAGCCUAACAAUUUACAAUAUACAACUCACACGGCUCAACAAUCACAAUUCAACAUUAACAGUUCAACAAUCACUAGUAUCACAUUAAUCAAUCACAAGUAUCAAGUUGGAAUUUAUGGGGAAUACCCAUAGUCCAUGCACUCGCUGACAAUGACCUUGGCAUAAUAGAACCCACACGGCAAUGACCUCGACAUCAAUAACAUUCUUCAAAAAUGACCUCGACAUCAAUAACACUCACCGGAAAUGACCUCGGCCUAAUAACCUCGCAUCUCAUCAUAAUGCCCAGAAUCAAUGUGAAUGAGCAUACUCACACAAUAUUGAAGAGAUGAUAAACUCAAGCAAUUCAAGUUCACAAUAAUAUUAUCAAAGCAUUUCAUCAAUCAUGAGUUCAAUGUUCACACCAAGACAAUUCAUAAUACACAAUACAUCAUUAACAACACAUUACCUUUUUCAUUAAACUGCAUUUAUAUCGAUAAAGCUAAUCAAAUGAGUAAAUUAACCCAUCACCUCACUUCCAUUGCUUCCCAACACACACAAUGAAGGAAAAUACAAGUUUCUACAAGUUUUAACAAUGUUUAGAGGUCUUGUCUUAAUCAAUCAAAAGUCACUCUAGGACUUGAGCUUUUCCCCUCCGAAUAAUAUCUAAAGCAACACAAUCUAAUCAAAUAAGUAAUCACAAUGAGAUUUUGAAACUAAUAACACACAUAUCAAGCACUUUAAAAAAUGGGUCAAUUCGACUCAAAAAAUAAAUUCCAAAAAUUAGGUUUGAAAUUGAAAAUCAUUACUUAAAUACGUUACCCAAAACAUUUGAAACUCAUUGGUGAAAGCCAUUUUGAAAAUAAAGGUGUAUUCAACUCAAAAUCACCAAUUUACUUCAACACCCAGUUAGUCUUGAAAACCUUUUCAUUUUGCCAAUCAAAAAUCUCUAUUUUUUUUAAUGUUAAAACUACAAAUGAUAAUGGAGAAUUGAAGACUUAGGGUUACAAACACUUACCCAAAAAAUUUAGUACGAUAAGUCUCCUCAAAAUCACCUUCAACUGUUCUUCAAAAUUCAAAAUGGAGAAAUCCCAAAAAAACAAACUAAAAGGCUCCCAUGUCUCGCUUUUGCAAACCCAGGGUCACUUACACAAUCAUCGCAAUCCUAGUUCAAAAAAUCGAACUCUGAAAAGUUGGCUAGUAAUCACUUUCGCGAGCCGGCCUUCACUAAAGCGAAGGUCGCGAAAGCGACAACCACUCGCAAACGCGAAGGUCUAGGGGAACCGACCCCUUGCGAAUGUGACUAGUAUAUCACGGAAGCAAUGUUUGCGAAAGCGAACAACCUCUCGUUAACGUGAGGCACACAUGGUAAUAGAAAAUUCAUCCAACUUUCAAAAUUCCUAAAUGAUCCUCAGAAUUCGUUCGGAACCCAUAUACACAAAUUAAAUAUGUAACUCGACGAUACUCAACGUUUCAAAUAUAAUGGAACUAUUGAAAUACGAAUCUGAGAUCUCCUAGACCCGAAUCUCGUGUAAAUCACAAGAAACUAACACAACACCUAAAACUGACAAACUAGCUCGGGACCUCUUAAAAUUCAACCAAGAUCUCUGCCUAAGCCUAAAAUCAUCUCCCGAAUUCAAUGGAAUUGUUGGAAAUUCGAUCCGGGCAUCCAAACUCCAAAUGUUAACAAAGUCAACCUAAAGGCUAAAUUCUCACCAAUUUUCAAGUUAGGACCUCAAAUCCAGGAAAAGACUCUGAAUGUAACACUCCGGAAACUAGUAGGCUAAACUAGAGCUUAACAUGUGGGUUAAAGUCGUAAAUGUAACUCCCCGUACUUAAAAAUAAUGGGUUUCAUGUUAGGAUGUCAAGGUACGACCCCCAAGAACCAACUAUGGGUCCUUGAGGAAGACCCUAGAAAAGUUGCAUGUAUAGUGACCCACGAAGGGGACCUACACCACGUAGGUCAACCCACACCCAUGGGUGAGAGGGCCGUAGGUCAGGCCCUAAAAAUCAAGUCCCACAACCCAACCCACGCUUCACCAGCACGGGCCGUAGGUCCAACCACGGUCCGUCAGUGGUAGGUCUUGGAUGGUCACCUGGAAGCUGAUUUGGAGGGUUAAGUUAGAGGGCACUUUGGGGUUUUCCAGGUUUAAUUAAUACUAAGUGAGGUUGUUUUAGCCUAUUUUAGAACACCUAUAUAAGGAUUUAAGCUCACAAAAUUUACUCAUCUUCCUCAUUAUUCCAAAAUCCCAAAUAAAAACCAACUUUUCCCCAAAUAUUCUCUCUCUAGAACUUCAAAGAAAACGAAGAAGGAAGUUGGAGCUAGGGUUCAAUGAGCAAGGUUUUCUUCUCAAAUUCAUUGGAUUUCAUUGCUAAGGUAUGGUAGUUCUUCAUACAUGGAUAUAAUUCAUCCAUGGAGCCCCUUCAAAACCUCAAUUUCAAAGAUGGAAAUUCCCCAAAAGUUAGGGUUUUACUCCAAGUCAUGGGUUCCUUUAAAAAAUGAUUCUAGUGAUUUAAUUACUUAUACUAUGAUUGAAUUUAUGAUCUUUUAUGGUUUUUAUGUUGAAAUCCCCAAGAAUCCAUGAAAUCCCCCAUAUUACUCAAUUAUGAUCUUGUGAUGUAGGUUUGUUGAUGAAAGAAGAGUAUUAUGAGAUUUUACAUGUAGUGAUUUGAUUACUUGAAUUAUGAUUAUAUCCAUGUCUAAAGUAGUGAAUUCUAGAUGUGUUGAUUGAAUAUGAUCAUUGAUCCUUGAAGGGUAAAGUAUGAGAAUUAUGCAUGAUUAUGAGAUUUAUGUAUAUGCUUUAAGAACACUUUGAGAGUAAAGUGAUUAUGAUUAUGAUCUAGUUGUUGUGUUGUUGAAAGGUUAUCCUCAUAUACACACUUACGUAUGAAUAUGAUAUGAUGUGAGGGGUUUUCUCAUAAUAUGAUGAUUCUAAGGUUGAAAGACUAUUCUCACCUAUUGAAUCUAGGAGCUAUCUUAUGAGUUAUGUUGGAUUGAGUGUCAAGACAUUCUUCCAUGAAUAUGAAUUUAAGUCAAGACUUAACAUGAACUCCGUGGGAAUUAAUGCUCAGCACCGAGUGGAUAUUGAUAUGAGAUGGGAACCCUCACAAUAGUAGAGACCGAGUUUCUAGGAACAAUCUCUUGGGAUGGAAGCCCUCACGAUAGUAGAGGUCGGGUUUCUAGUAGCAAUCCCCUUGUCCCAUAAACUAUGUGCCUUCAUAGGUCUUUAGAUAGUGGAUCCACCUAAGCUAAGAGUAUGGUUCUACCUUAGGAAAGUAGGACAACCCCUUUUCGGUGUGGGGUAGACACCGGAUUCCAUGUUAAGCUCACAUGGUCUAUGUCGGUUAAGGCUUAUACCACUAUGAUAGUAUAAACAAUAAUAUGAAUUAUGAACUAUAGCUACUCAAGAAGCUUUACUUAGUAUGUGUGAGAUUAUGGGAUCUUAUUCAUGCAUUACACAAGUAUGCUUUGAGGGUAUUUAUGAUAUGUUCAUCUUACGAUAUGAUGAUCUAUGAGUUGAUUAUGCUUAUGACUUAUGCUUUUUCCACUAUCUUCAAAAUGAUGUUUUAACAUAGUAAAUUGCAUGCAUUCAACUAAAUGUCCUUUUAGCAUUAUUUCAAUGUUUUUAUGCAUGGCUAUCAUACUUAGUGCAUUUUUGUACUAACACAUGCUUUUUCUACAUUUUCCGCAAUUGUAGGGUCCGGUUCUCAAGGUGGUCAUCAUUGUGGCUAAAGAUUGGAUUUGCUUAUUCUCCUAGCUUGUUGGUGAUUCCUCAUGAUUUAAGGACUGAUGUUAUCUUUGUAGUUCUUUUCUUGUAUUUCCUUUACGGACUAUGUUGUAUGGGCUGUGACCCUAUUUCUUUCAAGUAUUGUAAUAGAUGGCUAUAUUGAGACAAGUCUAGACUUUCGCUUUCCUUUAUGAAAAAUUUUGGACUUGAAAUGCGAUUUUACUCUUUAUUGUUCUAUUCUUAUGUUAUGAUACGUUAAGAGGCUUGUAUAAGGCUUCUCGGAGUCUUGCACACCGUGUUACAUCUAGGGGGUACUUUUGGGUCGUGACAAACUUGGUAUCAGAGCACAGGGUUUAGAUUGAUUCUAGGAUGAUGUAUCAUAAGCAACGUCUAGUAGAGUCUUGCUCAUGAGUGUGAAGCGCGCCACAUUUAUGAAUGUGAGGCUACUAGUUGAUUAGGAAACUACAUUUCUUUCAUUACUCUUAAGUCGUGCAAUAGAGUUUAACUCUAUAAAGUCCCUCUCUUAAUCCUUCUCUUAAAAUGAAUACACGAAGGGCUAAUGCUAGAAGAAUAGAGGGUGACAAUGUGAAUGAAGAAGCUCUUCAAGCUAAUCAAGCUCCGAUUGAUCCUUUAGUUAUGUCGAAUGUGGAGGUUAGGUCGGCUUUUCAAAUGUUGGCCCAAGCUUUGACUACUCAAGCUCAAGUUGUGACGGCUCAAGCCAACAGAGAGGUUGUAGCUAUGGUGAAUCCUAAUGUGAGUUCAGAGGCUUCAAGAGUGAGGGAUUUUUCAAGAAUGAACCCCCCGAAUUGCAUGACUCCAAAGUGGAGGAGGAUCCUCAAGAAUUUGUAGAAGAGGUUUAUAAAGUACUUGCUAUUAUGGGGUGACUUCGGUAGAGAAAGCAGAGUUGGUUGCUUACCAAUUGAAAAGUGUUGCUCAAGUGUGGUAUAAUCAAAGGAGGAGAAAUAGGCCGGUAGGAGCAAGUCGCAUAAAGUGGGAGGUGUUCAAAUUGGCGUUUCUUGAUAGGUUCUUUCCCCGAGAGUUGAGGGAAGCUAAGGUGGAAGAGUUCAUUAACCUUCAUCAAGGAAGCAUGAGUGUGAAAGAGUAUGCACUAAAGUUCACUCAAUUGUCCAAGUAUUCUCCAACUAUGGUGGCGGAUUCGAGGGAUGAGAUGAGUAGGUUUUUGACGGAUGUGUCUGGCUUGGUAGUAAAAGAAUGUCGUUCAGUAAUGCUCCAUCAUGAAAUGGAUAUCUCACGUCUUAUGGUGCAUUCCCAAUAAAUAGAGGAAGAGAAACUCAAGAAAAAGAAUAGAGAGGUGAAAAGAACUACGACCGGUGAUGGGAAAUUCUCCAAUGCUAAGUCUGAUGUACAAGGUCGACCAAGGUUUUCCAACCAAGGCUCCUCUAGUUCUCCAAGGGUCAACAAGGAUAGGGUUUCCAACCCUAAACCUCAAGGAGGUAAUAGUGGUGGUUCUUAUGUGGCUAGGCCUAAUUGUGCGAAAUGUGGAAGAAAACAUGAUGGUAAGUGCCUAGUUGGCUCGGACAGUUUCUAUGGUUGUCGAAAGAGUGUCCACAAGAUGAGAGAUUUCCCGAUGCUCAUGGCCAAGGGAAGAGAAGGCAAUUAAACUCCUCCAAGCGGUUCAAACUCCAAUGCCCCAAAGCAAAACCGUUUUUAUGCUCUUCAAUCCCGAGACCAAGAGAGCUCACGGAUGUUGUGACCGGUAUGUUAAAAUUCUUUCUUAUUGAUGUGUAUGCCUUGUUAGAUCUCGGUGCUACUUUGUCCUUUGUGACACCUUAUGUCGCCAUGAAGUUUGAUAUACUUCCCGAAGCGUUAGUGGAACCUUUUUUGGUUUCUACCCCGGUUGGUGACUCAGUGGUGGCUAAGAGGGUGUAUAGAAGGUGUCUCAUUUGCUUGUCCCAUAGAGUUACUUUGGUGUAUUUCGUAGAGUUAGACAUGUUAGAAUUUGAUGUGAUUUUGGGUAUGGAUUGGUUGUAUGCAUGUUAUGCCUCUAUCGAUUGUAGGACUCGGGUGGUUAGAUUCCAAUUUCCAAAUGAGCCUGUCUAAGAGUGAAAGGGAGGAAAUUCUAUGCCUAGAGGUCAAUUUAUCUCUGGUCUUAAAUCUAGGAAGAUGAUCUCCAAAGGGUGUAUUUACCAUAUUGUUAGGGUGAGGGAUGUUGAAUCUGAAACCCCUUCUCUAGAGUCGGUUUCGGUAGUGAAUGAGUUAUCGAAAGUUUUUCCUGAUGAUUUACCCGGUAUUCCUCCCGAUCGGGAAAUAAAUUUUGGUAUUGACCUUUUACCGGAUACAAAGCCUAUCUCUAUUCCUUCUUAUAGAAUGGCUCCGGCUGAGUUGAAAGAGCAACUAAAAGAUUUAUUUAAUAAGGGCUUCAUCCGAUCGAGUAUCUCUCCAUGGGGUGCUCCGAUGUUGUUUGUUAGAAAGAAGGAUGUGUCUCUUAGAAUGUUCAUCGAUUAUCGUCAAUUGAAUAAAGUUACCAUUAAGAACAAGUAUCAUCUUCUGAGAAUUGAUGACUUGUUUGAUCAAUUUCAAGGGGCUAGUUAUUUCUCAAAAAUUGACCUUCGUUCGGGUAUCACCAGUUAAGGGUGAGAGGGGUUGAUAUUCCCAAGAUGGCUUUCAGAACUCGAUAUGGACAUUCUGAAUUCCUUGUGAUUUCAUUUGGCUAAACUAAUGCUCCUGCGGCAUUUAUGGACCUAAUGAAUAAAGUAUUUAGGUAAUACCUAGACAUGUUUGUAAUUGUGUUUAUCGAUGAUAUUUUGAUCUAUUCAAGGAGUGAGAAUGAUCAUGAGGACCAUUUGAGAAUUGUGUUGCAAGUUCUUAAGGACCACCAACUUUUUGCAAAGUUUAGCAAGUGUGAAUUUUGGUUGAGAUCCGUAGCUUUCCUUGGUCAUAUUUGUCAAGCAAGGGUAUUGAGGUAGAUUCUAAGAAGACGGAUGAGGUCAAGAGUUGGCCUAGAGCUCUAACUCCUUUCUAUAUUAGAAGCUUUUUGGGUUUUGCCGGUUGCUAUAGAAGGUUUGUUGAGGAAUUUUCUUCCAUUGCUUCUCUUUUGAUUGCUUUGACUCAAAAGAAAGCUAAGUUUGUGUGGUCGGAAUCUUGUGAGAAAACUUUCCAAGAGUUGAAAGAUAGACUUAUUUCUGCUCCGGUGUUAACCUUACUAGAAGGUACAAAUGGUUUCGUGGUAUAUUGUGAUGCCUUUAGAGUGGGGUUGAGAUGUGUGCUCAUGCAAAGCGGUAAAGUGAUUGCAUAUGCUUCAAGGCAACUUAAAGUCCAUGAAAAGAAUUAUCCGACCCAUGAUCUUGAAUUAGCGGCGGUUGUGUUUGCCUUAAAAAUAUGGAGGCAUUAUUUGUAUGGGGUCCAUGUGGAUGUUUUCACCGAUCACAAGAGUUUUCAAUAUGUAUUUAGUCAAAAGGACUUGAAUCUUCGACAAAGAAAGUGGCUAGAACUCUUGAAGGAUUAUGAUAUGAGUGUCCUUUAUCACCUCGGCAAAGCCAAUGUGGUAGCAGAUGGACUUAGUAGAUUGUCCACGGGUAGUGUGGCUCAUGUAGAGGAUGAAAAGAAAGAAUUGGUUCGUGAUGUGCAUAGGUUGGCUCGACUAGGUGUUCAACUAGUGGAUUCCACCAUGGGUGGUGUCAUGGUCCAUAAUGGUUCCAAAUCAUCCUUUGUAAUAGAUGUGAACCCUAAGAAAGACCUUAAUCCUAUAUUAGUUGAGUUGAAAGAGUCGGUACUCAAGAAGUCCGUUGAGUUUUUCUUCCAAGGGGAAGAUGGGGUGCUUAGGUACCAAGGUCGGUUAUGUGUUCCAAAUUUUGAUGGUUUGAGGGAACAAAUUUUACAAGAAGCUCAUAGUUCUCGGUAUUUUAUUCAUCCGGGAGCCACCAAGAUGUAUUGUGAUCUACGGAAAGUCUAUUGGUGGAAUGGGAUGAAGAAAGAUAUUGCGGGAUUUGUAGCCAAAUGUCCUAAUUGUCAACAAGUUAAGGUUGAGCAUCAAAGGCCGGGAGGCUUGUCCCAAGAUAUAAGUAUUCCCACUUGGAAGUGGGAAGAUGUAAAUAUGGACUUUAUUGUGGGUUUGUCUUGUACCCGAAGGAAACAUGAUUCUAUUUGGGUCAUUAUAGAUCGGAUGACAAAAUCAGCCCACUUCAUUCCCGUCACGGUUUCCUUUUCGGUGGAAUACUAUGCCAAGGUGUAUAUAAGGAAGAUAGUGAAGUUGCAUAGAGUUUCUCUAUCUAUUAUUUCCCAUUGGGAUACUCAAUUUACUUCCCACUUUUAGAAGUCAUUCCAAAAAGGUCUUGGCGCGAAGGUGAAGCUUAGUACAACUUUUCACCCCCAAACGCAUGGACAAGCGAAAAACACCAUUCAUGUAACACUUCGUAUCCAAAAAUAGACCAACCAACAGAUUUCCAGAAGUUUCAGGUGCAACCCACGGACCGUAGGGUGACCUACGUUCCGUCUUGAUGGUCCGUGGUUCACCACCUGCAGCCCCUCCCAGAAAAGGCCCAUAAAAUUAUUCUAAGUCCAGACCUACGUAAGGACCUACAGACCGAAGGCCAGACUAGGGUCUGUGUUCCAGGGCCGUAGGUCAGACCCUCAGACAAAUGUUUAUAUGACAUGACCUACAGACGAACCCACGGACCAUAGGUUAGGCCACAAAUCGUGGUCCUAGUCCGUGGAAUGAGGCCCCAGAAUCUAGUCCCAGAACCCCGUUGAUGGUUGACCAGCAUGACCGUUGGUCCAUCCAUGGUCCGUUGGUGGCCUCGAUAACUUUUAAGUCAGGGGUCGUUUGGUCUUUUCCCUAUGUGUUGGACCCCUAAACUACAUAGUUUUUGUCAGUUUUAGCCUAGUAAACUAAUUAGAACCUAACCUAAUCAAUCAUUCAUCUAAAAUUCAUCAAACUUAGAGCAAAAUAGAGGAGAAAGUUGAGCAGCCCUAGUUCAAGAGCGCAAGGAGCGUUCAUUAGUUCCAACCUCGAAAUCAAAAGAUUUCUCGGUGAAUUUUAUCACCAGGUAUGUGGGAUUUCACUAGUGGUUUCCUUUCACCCAUUAGGUCCCUAGAAUUCAGUCAGAUUCUUGAUUCCUUUCAUAUUAUCUAGACCUAGGGUUUUUAGAAUUUCAGAAGAUUAUUAUGAAUUACUGUAAUGUUCCUAAUUAGAUUAUCAUGAUAUUAGUAUUAUUUUGCGUAGAUUUUUUCAUAAGUUCAGAACCCUAGCUAUGUAGUUCUUUUAGUUCAUGAAUUACACAUGCUAGGUUAGUUAUCUCAGUUAUACAUGCCUCAGAUUUGAAUGUUUCAUUAUUAGUACAUUAAUGUUGCUUUUUUAGUUAGCAUGUCAGUAUUUUGAGCUAUCCAGUAUUACAUAAAUUCACUCAUAAACUGUUAAUUACAUAAUCAAUUGGGAGUAGCUUAAUACCGAGUGGACUAGGGUCAGUCACCCUCAACUCCCAGAACUUCGUGCCCCCGUAGGUUAUAAGUCCUCUCUGUGGGCAUCAAUUUAGUGAUCACGCUAGUUAUGCCUCUAUACCUCCGACAGGGUAUAUUUGGUCCUCUCGAUGAGGCGUAUACAUCGGACUCCAUAUUUAGCUCAUGUGGUUUUAUGUCGGUUAUUAGUAGCUCCCUUAUAGUUAGACUCUAUUGCAUUGACCAUGUUAUCAGUUACAGUCAGAUUUUAGUCUCAAUUUGUUAUAAACUUGGUCAUUGCAUUCAGUUAGUUCAUGUUUAGUAUUUUCAGUAUAGAAUCAUGCUUAUCUUAUCUCAUUGCUCAAUUAUAUGCUUUGUUCAGUUAUGUUUAUUGUUCAGCUUUACUCUAUCUUACAUUCUCAAUACCUUUCAAGUACUGACGCAUACGAUGCGCUACAUCUUUUUAUGAUGCAGGUUCAGGUCCUCAACUUUCAGAUCACGCAUAGGUCGAUUCCCGAUCUUCAGCUCAGCAGUAUCAGUGGUGAGUCCUCAUUCUCUGAGGACGACAUACAUAUUUCUUUUUAUUUUUAGUCUUUAGUUUCAGUUUUGUUAGAUUUAGCUAGGGCAUGUCCCAGCAUUUCUAGUCAGUUAAAGGCUUAUUUUCAGACAUAGUUAGAUUCAGCUUUAGCAUUUGAGUUUGACCUUUUAGUUGUUGUUUAACUCUCAGUUUUUUAUAUAUUCAGAUAGUUUAUGGGUUUUCCCCAUCAUUUUAGUUUUAUGAUGAUUUAAGCUUCCGCACCGUACUUUCUUAAUUCAGUUAUCUUUAAGUAUGCUUAUGAUAUGCCAGUAGGGUUAGCUUGGGGUCACUCGCGAUCCUAGGUCCCGUGUCCGCGUCUUGGGGGUAGCUUCGGGGCGUGACAAACUUGGUAUCAAAGCACUAGGUUUAAGUGUCCUAGGAUGUCUGAAAAGCCGCACUAAGUAGAGUCCUUUUCAUGGGUGUGAAGUGCACCACAUCUAAUGAGUGGGAGGCUACGAUGUGUUCUAGGAAAACUUCACUUUUUUUAUAUUCUUAUCGUGCGUGGGUAUGAUCUACCUUCUAAUCCAUCAUUAUGCAUUUCAGAUCAUGCCUCCUCGUAGAGAUUACAGAAGGAAUGCUAAUGCACGCAAUGCUAAUGCAACUCUUCCAGUCCCAGAUCAGGAAGUUUCGAAUGCAGAGUUCCAAAACGCCAUUUAGUUUUUAGCUUAGAGUGUGACCAACCAGAACAACCAAUAUGUUCAGGUUCCUACAAAUACUAGUGGUGGAUCAGCGGCAACUAGGGUUUAUGACUUUGUUAGGAUGAAUCCGCCAAAAUUUCUAGGAUCGCAAGUUGAUGAGGAUCCCCAAAACUUCAUAAAUGAGGUCAAGAAGAUCUUUGGAUUAAUGCAAGUGAUUAGAAAUGAUAGGGUGGAGUUGGCAUCCUACUAACUUAAGGAUGUAGCUCACAUAAGGUUCACGUAGUGGAAAGAAAACAAAGAUACGGAUGCAGUUCCUAUCACUUGGGAGUAUUUUAGUGAGACCUUUCUAGAAAAGUUUUUCCCAAGAGAGUUGAGGGAGGCAAGAGCUCACGAGUUCAUGAAUUUGAGGCAAGGUAACAUGAUAGUCGAAGAGUACGUGCUCAAGUUCACCCAACUCUCCAGGUAUGAUCCUCACAUGGUUGCCGAUUCCAGGGCUCAAAUGAAUAAGUUUCUGUAUGGAGUAUCCGACUUGGCGAAAACUAAGUGUCGCAAUGCUAUGUUACUGGAGAAUGUGAAUAUCUAUAGGCUCAUGACUCAUGCUCAGCAGGUUAAGGGAGAUAAGCUUAGGGAACAUGCUAAGGAUAAUAAGAAGGCUAGGACAGGCAACUAUGAGUAUUCUCAAUAGAAAUCAGGUGGUGGAAAUCGCUCGCAGUUUCAGCAAAAGUCUUCAGCUCCAGCACAUUCAUGAGAUAGUGUUCCAUCUUCCAGGUUUCGACAGAAUCAGAAAGGUAGGGCAAUAGGCUCUAAGUCUCAUGGGAGUAUUUUAGGCAUCAAAACCUACCCAACUUGUCCAAAGUGUGGUAAGAACCAUCUGGGCAAGUGUCUUACAGGAAAUGAAUGAUGCUUUGGGUGUGGUCAGUCUAGUCACAGGUUGAGAGACUGUCAUUCUUCUAAAUAGGGUCAAGUAGGAAACAAUGGUAGGGCUCAGUCUACAUCUUCAGCAGUACCAGCAGGUCACCCGACUCAGCAAGGUAACUCAUCUGGUAUAGGUGGCGGACAACACCAAAACAGGUUGUAUGCUCUUCAGGCUCACCAAGAUUAGGAAGAUUCUCCUGAUGUAGUCACUGGUACGCUACGAGUCUUUAACUUAGAUGUUUAUGCUUUGUUAGAUCCAUAGCCUACUCUCUCUUCUGUAACUAAUAACUAUCGAUUUUAGUGUCAGUCCCGAAAUUCUCUCAGAACCCUUCUCAGUCUCUACUCCAGUCAGUGACCCAAUUAUAGCUAGAUGGGUAUAUAGAAAUUUCCCUGGCACAGUCUCUCAUAAAGUCACCUCAGCGGAUCUUGUAGAGUUAGAAAUGGUAGACUUUGAUGUCAUUCUUGGCAUGGAUUAGUUACAUUCCUGUUAUGCCUCAGUCGAUUGUAAAACUAGGAUCGUUCAUUUUCAGUUUCCAGACAAACUAGUAGCUCAGUGCCUAUGGGUCGAUUCAUUUCUUACCUUAAGGCCAGAAAUAUGAUCUCUAAAAGUUAUCUCUAUCAUCUAUUUCGGGUUAAGGAUUCAAGCUCUGAAACCUCAACUCUUGAGUCAGUUCCUGUAGUUAAUGAGUUUGAAUGGAAGGGUAGUAGGUUGGUGCAUAUGGGUCGAUUCAUUUCUUACCUUAAGGCCAGAAAUAUGAUCUCUAAAAGUUAUCUCUAUCAUCUAUUUCGGGUUAAGGAUUCAAGCUCUGAAACCUCAACUCUUGAGUCAGUUCCUGUAGUUAAUGAGUUUCCUGAAGUGUUUCCAGAAGAUCUUCCCGGAGUUCCUCCCAAAAGGGAAAUCGACUUUGGANNNNNNNNNNNNNNNNNNNNNNNNNNNNNNNNNNNNNNNNUCCAGAUACCCAGCCUAUUUCUAUUCCUCCUUACAAAGUGGCUUUAGUUGAGCUUAAGGAAUUGAAGGAGCAGUUGAAUGACCUUUUAGAUAAGGGCUUCAUCAGACCUAGUAUUUCCUUGUGGCACCAGUAUUUUUUGUGAAAAAGAAAAAUAGUUCUCUCAAAAUGUGCAUUGACUAUCGGCAGUUGAACAAGGUCACGAUAAAAAAUAAGUAUCUUAUCCCCUAAAUUGAUGACUUAUUUGACCAACUUCAAGGUGCUAGUCAUUUCUCAAAGAUAGACCUCAGAUCCGAUUAUCAUCAGCUCAGAGUCAGAGAUAGUGACAUUUCGAAAAUAGCCUUCAGAACUCGGUAUGGUCAUUAUGAAUUUGUAGUUAUGUCAUUUGGACUAGCCAGUGCUCCUUCAACUUUCAUGGAUUUGAUUAACAGAGUGUUCAAGCAGUAUUUGGACUUGUUUGUUAUCGUCUUUAUUGAUGACAUCCUCAUUUACUCUAGGAAUGAGGAAGAAGAUACGACUCAUUUGAGGGUUGUCCUGCAAACUCUCAAAGAUCGUCAGUUAUUCGCUAAGUUUAGCAAAUGUGAGUGUUGGUUGUAAUCUGUUGCUUUCCUUGGGCAUAUUGUGUCUAGCGAAGGGAUCUGAGUGGAUUCUCAGAAAAUAAAAGCAGUGAAACAAUGGCCCAGACCUACCUCUCCUAUAGAUAUAAGAAGUUUCUUGGGUUUGGAUGGUUAUUACAAAAGGUUUGUAGAAGGAUUUUCAUCCAUAGCUUCUCCAUUAACUAAGUUAACUCAGAAAAAGGUUAAGUUCCAAUGGUCAAAUAAUUGUGAGAAUAGCUUUUCAGAACUGAAAACUAGCUUGACUACAGCUCCUGUUUUGACUCUACCAGAGGGUUUAGACGGUUAUCUGAUCUAUUGCGAUGCAUCUAGAGUCGGCCUAGGUUGCGUGUUGAUGCAACGAGGUAAGUUUAUAGCUUAUGCUUCUAGACAACUCAAGGUGCAUGGGAAGAACUAUCCAACUCAUGACCUCGAGCUUGCAGCAGUGGUGUUUGCACUUAAGAUUUGGAGACAUCACUUGUAUGGUGUUCACGUAGAUGUGUUCACAGACCAUAAGAGCCUUCAGUAUGUGUUCACCCAGAAAAAGUUGAAUCUUCGCCAGAGGAGAUGGCUUGAGUUCCACAAAGAUUAUGAUAUGAAUGUGCUUUAUCAUCCUAGUAAGGCCAAUGUAGUAGCAGAUGCUCUUAGUAGACUAUUUAUGGGUAGUGUAGCACAUAUUGAGGAAGAAAGGAAAAAACUAGCAAAAGAUGUUCACAGGCUUGCUCGCUUAGGAGUUUGUCUUAUGAGCAUAUCAGAUGGUGGUGUAAUAGUACAGAAUGGGUCAGAAUCUUCAUUGGUAGCGGAUGUUAAGGAAAAGAAAAAUAAUGAACCUAUAUUGCUUCAACUAAAGUGUCAUGCCCCAAACUCGAGGGGCGCAACUAGCUCCUAAUGCCAAAACUCAGGCCUGAGUUGACCCUGCUGAACCAUUUGCUACUAGCGCAUGGCAGCCACACGCAAUCAAGAAAACAAACAAGUAUAUCUCGGCUUAAAACUAAGCCCUCGACUGGUAAGGCCCCUGUCAACUGAUCUAUAAAGGAAACAACUACUCCCAGGAGAGCAUAUUAAAUAAAUAGCCAACUAGUACAAAAGUCCUGAUUGGGCCGUCGAGGCCACCAUGAUAUCUAUACCAAAACUAAAAGCACGUAUAUAUCAAGUUAAUAAAUCAAACAUCUCACAAGCUUCAGUAAACCAACAAACUAGGAUAGUAUGUCCAUAACAUAGCUAUACACCCCACACACUAGUCUGCAAGCCUCUAAGAGUAGUAAAGAUUGGCGGGACAGGGCCCCAGCCUACCCAUAAACAUAUAUACAACAAAAGGUAACAAACCUCCCAACUCUGGAAGCUCCGGAGGAAAGGGGCUAGCCAAUCGGAUAGAAGUCAAUCAUGCUGCUAAGGAAUCAUCUAAAAAGUAUGACCGUUUUUACCCACGAUGGCUACAUGGUUUAUGGAGACUUGAGUUAUUAUGAACUCGUCCUCAUAUCGGUGCUCAAUACUACUCCCAAAAUAUACUCGGCUCAUAUGUUUUAAAAUAAAACUCUCUCUGUGGUUUGAGAUAAUUACUCAAAAACUAGCUCAAAGGUUCUCUUAGAAAUUGGUGUUUCCUCUCUUGUUUAAAUGUGAAAACAUUUACUCUUUUAGAAAUACAUAGUCUUGGUAUACUCUUUUAAAGAAAAGAACUUUGAUCUUCACUCUUUAUUCAACUCAAAACUCAAGUCUUAAAAUAAAGUUAAAAAGUUUGCAAAAGACUUUUGAAAUGACUCUAAGAACUCUCUAGCCUUGGCUCUUAACUUUCCUUGAAUUUGAAUUUAUGGAUUCAAGGAUUGUGAUUUGUGAUAGGAAGGAUCUCAUGAUGUUUAGGAGUGUUUUUAGAUAGUUAAACGUGAGAAACGAUCAAGAAAUUCCUAUCUAGAAACAAGUUCACGACGCGGAGAUGCAUUUAAUUAUUUGAUCGUGAAAUAAAUUUUGAGGCAGAAUGGUCUGUGACUACUUCGCGAUGCGGAGAAAAUUUUGUCAAUCCUAAGGAACAGGUCCGCGACGCUGACCUGGUACCCAGAUUUGCCCGACUUGUUCCUUCUUCGUUUUCUAACACCAAUUCGCCUAAAUUCGAUUCUUUUUCUCAAUUCCUCUUUAGAUUCAGAUACCCAGCACAUGUACACAAGAAUCUAACUCAAAAAAACUCUAACAAUCAACCUUAAACUCUCAAGAACAAAAGCAAUUCAAGAAUACAACUCAAGAACAUCAAAGUCUCAAUCUUUUAGGACGAAAAUCAUACUGAAAUAAACAUGUUUGGCACGUGGGUGAACGAACCCAACGCUAUGUGAACUCACAUACCUCGUAGGAUUGAAUCUUUGGCGAAAACCACAACCAAAAUCGCAAGAACUUGACGAAUCUUUGAACUUUUCUUCUCCUUUCUCCUCUUGAGUUCUUUCUCCAAUAACCCUAGCGUGAUUUGGUAAGGCAUAAACUGAUCUAACUCUGUUUAGACCCAAAUUAAACUUCUAAAAACGAAAUAAAUUAAUUGGGCAUGGAAAAGACCAAAAUACCCCUUUAAAAUCCGGUUUUAACUUUCAUUAUCUAGACAACUCAACUUCAAAUGGGCAUAUAUCCCUCAUACAAACUCGAAAUCAAGCAAACUCGGAGGCGUUGGAAAGAUAAUUCAAAGAUAUUUCCUACGGUAUCUUGUAGCACACCUAACUUAUCCUGAGCUAGGAGUUAUCGCCACUUGAAGUUGACCCAAACUCAAGCUUAGCAUAACUUUAACAAAUUUUCCAGAUUUUUCAUUCUUUCCAAAAAUAACUCUUUCUAAUUCUAGCUCUUUCACUUAGCGAGGUGUUACAAUCACGAACAUAAUUUGGUACUGUGUACGGAUACAUAUCCUUCUAAAUUAGGACAACCGUAGAAGAUACAUAGCAACACUUGAUACAUGAUAAAUGAUACAUUUGGUAGAACUUUUGUAUUAUCAAUGCUAGUUAAGGAUAUCUAUCAAAACUAAUAUUUGAAUACGAUACAUUGUGAAUGAUAAAAAAUUUAAUGCAUCAUAAUGUUGAAACGAAGACAUUAUACAUUAGUUUAAGAAACAAAAUCAACUAGAUACAUUAAAAAUCUGAACCCAUAUGCAUUAGAAAGGACGAACAACAAAGAAUCGAAAAAAAUCAACAAUUUAAUCUGCUGAAAGCAAAAAAAAAAAUGAUGAAGAAAUCCUCCUACACUUUCAUCAUUGAGGGAGUGAAAAUAUGGAGAGAUUAAGGGAGUGACAAUAGGAAGAGAAACGUGUACUUGAGUGUUGAAGCUUUAUGUAUCUGGAACAUUGGGGUUUGGGAGGAAAAAGAUGGAUUUUGGAAAUAUUUUGGAAUGGUAGGAAUAAUGGAAAUUGUGGAAAAUAAAAGUGUGUAUAUAGGUAAUUUUUCUGAAAAAAUUAGUAUUUGAGCCAAGUUCUAAUAUUUGAAAAAAUUUAAAAAUAAAAAAUCGCCCUAAACUUUUAUAUUUUAUCAAAAAAACACCCAUCACUUAUUAGUUCCAACUAAUAUCUAUCUACCAAAUUACUCCUUUAAUAACUAAUAAAUAUUCCUCUCUAUUAUCUAUAUAUAGAACGUGGCUAAGAGAAAUUUUUGUUUUUAAUAGAUUAUAAUUCAUCCUGAAUUAGUGACAAGUUUGAGUAUGCGAUUAAUAUAUUGCUCUUGUCAUAUUGUUGAUUGUUAUCAUUAUAAGGUUAUUUUUUAACAAAACAUAUUCAUCAUAAAAUGAAAAUUCAACCUUAAAGAUAUUUUAAAUAAUUUUUAGAACUUAUUGAUACAAAUCAUAUUUUUUGAAAUGAUCAAAUGUUUCUUCUGAAAUUUAUGGACAAACGUUGUAUCAACAAUAAUGAUACUUGAUCAUAUAAUUUAUGAUUGGUAAAAGGGUCUGAUAUACCCCUCAACUUUGCCAUUUGGAGCUGAUAUACUCCUUGUUAUGAAAGUAACUCAUAUAUACUCCUAUUGUUAUACAAAUGACUCACAUAUACCCUUUUCUUCUAACGGAAAUGAAAAAAUUAACUUUAAUUUAAUUUUUUAAUUAUUUUUUGGAAAAAAAUAUAAUCCAUAUGGGGUAUAUUUGAUCCUCCUCACAUGUAUUUUUUUUACUUUUUUGUUUCAACGACUAAUUUAAAUUUAUUAUUUUGAUGGUCAAAUAUAUUUAUUUUUCACUAAUUUUCUUGUAAAACUUAUUAUAGAUGCCCAUUUUAUUUUUUUUACAAAUACAAAAAUUUAAUUACAAUAUAGCUGAAAAAAAUAGUUUUAAAUUUUUUCUUUACACUAAAGAAUGACUGAAAAAAAAGAAUAAGAAACUCUAAUAAUGAUAAUCAAAGAAGUCAAAAAAUAAUUUUUGAAUGAAAAAAAUUAAAAUAUACCUUGAACUUUGCUAGAAGGAUCAUAUAUAUAGCCCUACAUGAAUUUUUUUUAAAUUUAAAUUCAAAAAAAUAAAAUUAAAACUAAUUUUUUCACUUCCAAUAGAUGAAGGGUAAUGUAAGCUCCUUUCGUAAUAGUAAGCAGGGGCGGAUCUAUAUGUAUGUGUGGGGUGCCACGGCACCCAGUGAUCUCGGUUAAAAUUUCGUAUAUAUAUGUGUAUAUGUUUAAGAAAUCGUUAUAAAUAAAAGUUGCCACCCAUUGAACGAAUUGGUGAUUGGUGCCGUUGGCAAAAGACACAGAUCCAUGCACCCGCAAUGCAGGUCCAAUUCUCACUCUCAACAUUAUAUUUUGGAUGCUUGUAUGAACUGAAGGCUUUCUAAGCUCUUUUUUUUUUUUUUUUUUCCUGUUUUUUCUUGUCUUUUUUUUUCUCGAUUGGUUCUUAUUUAUUUGGUACUAUUCUUUAUUACGUAAUUUAAAUUGACUCCUUUUUUCUGUGAUUAGUUCUUAACUUUUUUUAUUUUCUCUGUCACUAAUUACUGAUCUCUUGAUAUGAAUAUUAUGUGUUUAUUCUUUAUUAAUUAAUGAGUAUUGUAUUAUGAAAGUCACAUAAAUAUUACUACGAAUAUAUUUAAAUUGUUUUUUUUUUAAACAUAAGUUUUAAAAAAUGAUGAAUAUUAUUAUGUUUGAGUUCUUUUAAUUUUAAGGCUAUUCCGAUCUUCACGUUCUUGAUAAGUAAGAUGGUUGGGUUGAAACCAAUUUUUUCUCUACUAUAUUAUAUGCAACAACACAUAAAGACAAUGAAAUACGAAUAUAUUAAGUUAACACAAUUAGAUGGUUUAUACAAAUUUGAAAUUUUAAUGUGGAAAAUCUUUUCUUCCUCAAAGUUUUAGAGAAUGCCUCUAAAUCCAAAAAAAAAAGUUGAAUUGUUUAGUUAUCUCUAAUCUCAGAAUAACUAAAAGAAAAUAUUACUAACAUGCACAUUUAAUCAAUUUAUUUUAUAAAAAUAAAAAAAGAUAAAUAAUCCAAAUUGUAACCCAAAAUUAAAGGAACCGAUCCGUUUAUCUUACUUGGGUGAUGUGGCACCCACGACCUCUAAAUCCUAGAUCCGCCUCUAACAGUAAGGGUAUAUGUGAGUCAUUUGUAUAAUGAUAAGGGUAUCUAUGAGUUACUUUCAUAACGAGGAGUAAAUGACAAAGUUAAGGAAUAUAUCAGACCCUUUUCUCUUUAUUAUACUAGUAUACGUACCAGCGCGUUGCACGAAUAUUUAAAAAUAUAAUAAUUUUUAAAUUUAGAAAAUAACUAAUACAAAUUAUUAGUGAGUAACAAAAGUACAUGUGUAAUCAUAUAUAAUGUUUUAGUUUAUAUAUAUACGCUUCAUGCUAACACAAUUUUACCAUAAUUUAUAUCAAGUUUGUUUUUUGGCAGUUUUAUUUGACAAAAUUUAACAUAAUUAUUUAUCAAAUAAAAAUUAUGUUUUUCUGGAGGUAGUCUUUUUUUAAAAAAAAAAUCAAACUGAAAAAAUUGUUAAUUAUUUUGAUGAGACAUGUGGCUUUAUUUGCAAAAGUAUGAAUUUAUAGUAUUUUAAAUUUAUCCUUCUUAAGAAAUGAUAAUUCGAAAAUCAUUCUAUUACUAACAUAUUUUAUUUUUUUUACAACAUAGAGAUUUGAAAUAUUUAAAGUCAUUUUUAGAUAUAAUACAUGGAUUCACAAACCUUUUAAUCAUGGCAUGAGUCUGAUCUCUGUCUAAAUAAUUAUACACCAAUACAAAUAUAAAACUUAAUACUAUGUAGAAUUUAAAAAGAUAGAUAAAUAAAGACAAAUAAUAAUACAAAUUACAAAUUAGUAGUAUAAUUUUGAGAAAUUAUAUAAAAUUAUAUAUAAAAAUGAUAUGCAUCAACUCAAUGUUAACAUUUUUUUCCUUUGAAUAUUGUGCUAUUCAUGACGAAGACAGUACUUUUGAAAAGAAAAUUGCUUCAUUAAUAUGAGAAAUUGAAAAAAUAUGAUAGUGCGGAGGAAAGGAAAUGGAAAAGUGGGAAUAGUAGGUGGUUUAUAAAAUUGAUUCUUUGUUUUAUUUAUUUUUUACUUAAUACAUAUGCUCAAAUAAAAUGUUUUCUGUAAUAAUAUAUUAGGUAAGGAUAAAAUUAAAAAGUUAUAACAAUUUGUAACCACUUCAUCUUAUAACACUCUUCUCAAUUUUGAAUUAUUAUUAUUAUUUUAUUAAAAAACAAAACUUAUGCAUUAUUUUUAGUAAAACUAAUUAAAUUAUCAAUUCAAAUGUUAAAAAUUCUAUCAAAGACUUUUAAAAAAUUAUAAUUAUUUAUAAUUAUAUAUUUAUCUUUUAAAACUAAUUAAAUUAUUAUAUUGUUGUAAGUUUUCUAUGACUUAAAAAAUAAUCCAUAUAUAGGCCAGGCCACACGUAGGCAGUGGGAGAAUUGUUGUUGUUGUUGUUGUUGUUGUUGUUGUUGUUGUUGUUGUUGUUGUUGUUGUUGUUGUUGUUGUUGUUGUUGUUGUUGUUGUUGUUGUUGUUGUUGUUGUUGUUGUUGUUGUUGUUGUUGUUGUUGUUGUUGUUGUUGUUGUUGUUGUUGUUGUUGUUGUUGUUGUUGUUGUUGUUGUUGUUGUUGUUGUUGUUGUUGUUGUUGUUGUUGUUGUUGUUGUUGUUGUUGUUGUUGUUGUUGUUGUUGUUGUUGUUGUUGUUGUUGUUGUUGUUGUUGUUGUUGUUGUUGUUGUUGUUGUUGUUGUAUUUCUUAUUGUUGUUGUUGUUGUUGUUGUAUUUCUUGUUGUUGUUGUUGUAUUUCUUAUUGUUAUUGUUAUUAUUAUUAUUGUUAUUAGUAUUAUUAGUAUUAUUAUUAUUAGCAUUAUUAUUAGUAUUACUAUUAUUAGUAUUAUUAGCAUUAUUAUUAAUAUUAGUAUUAUUAUUAUUAUUAUUAGUAUUACUAUUAUUAAUGUUAUUAUUAUUAUUAUUAUUAUUAUUAUCAUUACUAUUAUUAUUAUUAUUAUUAUUAUUAUUAUUCUCCCCCUUAUUAUUAUUAUUAUUAUUAUUAUUAUUGUUAUUAUUAUUAUUGUUAUUAGUAUUAUUAGUAUUAUUAUUAUUAGCAUUAUUAUUAGUAUUACUAUUAUUAAUGUUAUUAUUAUUAUUAUUAUUAUUAUUAUUAUUCUCCCCCUUAUAAUAAAAAUGGAUGAUCAAAAAUGUUAAAAAUAAAUAAAUUUUAAAUUUUAAAUUAAUUCUUUUCAAAAUUAAUUAAUUUACCUAAGAAUAUAUACUAUCCAUAAUUGAAUAACCUUCUUAUAUGUUGCAUAUUUUAUGUUCUUGAACCUUUAAUUUUUUAAAGAGAUAUCCAUUUUUAUUUUUAUAAUUAUUUAAGAUUAAAAUAGAUUAUUAAUUUUUGGCGGAAUGGCCUAAGAGUCCCUUGUACUUGACUCGAUUUGUAAGUUGGAUCCCUAUACUUACGACUUUGCCAACUAAACCCUUAAACUCAUUCAAACACAAUAUUUUAGACCCCUUUCUCAUUCGAUGGGUGUGCGUGUAGUACACUCAUUUUACACAUGAAAUACCACGUCAUUUUUUAAUGACACAUCAUUAUCAUUAUUAUUUUUCUAAUGACACAUCAGAAAUUAAAUAUUUAAAAAGAAAUAAAAAAAAUUUUAAAUGCAUCUCUCUCUCUCACUCACUCACUCACUGUACUCAUUUUACCCCCUUCCCACUUCAUCUUCUUUGUUCCCACCUUCUACCAUUUUCAUCCCAAAAAUAAAAACUACAAUUUUCAUCUUUCUUCAUAGUUCACACUUAAAAAUUUCUUCAAUCACAAAAUGUGAUAGAUUAUAAUUAGUUCUUGCAAAUGCUUUAGGAUUCUAUUUAUUUUGAUUUGAUAAAAAGAGAUAUCAAGAAAACUUCAAAUUGAAAAAAAUAUGUGUACAUGUAAAUUCAAGUAAUAGAUCUUAAAGAAUUAAGUUUAUAAAAAUGGUGAAUAAUAUAUUUUCUUGCAAAAAAAAAUUUUAAUUUUUUAUUUGAUGAUUUUAUUGUGAUAAUGUGUACGUCAAAGAUGAAGAAGAAGAAGAGAAAAGGAGUAGGGGCGGGGUAGGGUGGGGAUGGGGGCUGAGGUUGAAGAAGAAGAAGAGAAAAAGGGUGGAGUUGGGUGGGGGCUGAAGAAGAAGAAGAGAGAAGGGGUGGGGUGGAGUGAAGAAGGAGGUUUUCAAUAUUUUUUUAAAAAAAUUAUUAUUAUUGUUUGUCUUAUAAUUUGAUAAAUUUUAAAAUAAAAAUAUUGUAUUCACUUGCUUCAAAAUGCGUGGGGUCACGUAUUUGUCCAACAUAAGCUCGGACAAUGAUUAGAGGGGUUUAAAAAAAUAGAGUUUCAUUGAGUUUAAGGGUUCAUUUGGAAAGGUGAUGAGUAGAAGGGUUCAACUGACAAACGAAGCCAAGUACAGAAGCCUCCCAGGUGAUUCUGCCUUAAUUUUUUCGUGUUUAUUAUUUUGAGUGGAGAUAAAUGAAUUAUUAUGUGCCUAUGAUUUAGGAGAAGAGAUUCUACACUUCUAGGAGUAUUUAAUUAUUAUUUUUUCUUAAAACGUAGCUAUUAAUUAAUUACCUCAAUUUUUGAAAUUCAUCAUUAAAUUAGUGCUCAGAAAUUUAAAACUGAUCUCAAAAAUUUUAAAAAUUAAUUGUAAUAACUUUUGGAGAUAAAUUAAUUAAUUUAAUUGUUAUAGGAGAAAAAAGUUAAUCUUGUAAUUGCUAUUAAUAAUGGGUAAAAAAAGUGAUUUACUCUAUUGUAGUAAAUCAUUUAGUGAGUAUAGAAAUAAAUUUUAAAUUAUAUUGUAUUGAAUAUUUAUGUAAAACAUUGUUAAUAGUAUUCAUAUAGAUUAUCAAAAAUGUAAAAUUAGAAAAUAAAAUCUCAUUAAAUAUAUAAACAAUAAUUAUCAACUUAAAGAUAUUAAGAAGCAUGAGAUCUUUACCACAUUAUGAUAUAUUUUCCAUUAAUAAAAUAAAAUAAAUACAUAGAUUUGGUUAGCUUAUAGAUGAACUUUUGGUAAAUAACUUUUUUUUAUAUUGAGUCUUUAUCUAAUAAUAUCAAUUGCAUCAACAACAAAAUAAACAAUAAUUUUAUAAGAUAUUAUUAUAUUAUCAAAUGAAUGCUACACUUUCAGUAUGUGUAGAUAAUAACUUUGACAAUAUUUCAAAAAUAAGAAUAAAAUUCAGAUUCAAAUUCAAGAAAUUCACACACUAAUCAACCUGCAAAAAAAAAAGUUACAAUCAUUAAAAAUAAUUAAUAAAAAUAGAAAAAAGAAUCAACAAAAAUUAACGAUUUACAAUAAUUAUUGAAAAUAGAUUUUAAUGCUUAAAAAGUUGCAAUAGAUAAAACACAUACACAAAUCUCAUGAUAGUGUUAAUUCUAUAUAUGAAGUUUAUUAUAGUGAUUUUUGUCUCAACAACUACGAAGUCACAUUAAAAGAAGGAGCAAAAUUAAAUCGUCAAAAGAAAAACGAAAAAACGAUAUCAACUUUAAGUAGUAUUUUUCAACAUUUCAAGGAUAAAGAAUAAUAUCAAUUCAACUAUAUAAUUAAAACGACAGAUUAAUUAAAAAUAUUGUAAAUUACUUCUAGUGAUUCGGAAUACCAUAAUCAUAUAACACGAAUAUUCAACUUUUAUUGUAUCUUCAAUAGUUCAUGGACAAAAUAAUUAUGUAAAACUAUAAUUUAUUGAAUACAUUAAAUAAUUAUUAUUUUUUAUGUGUCAAGCUGUAUUAAUUAUACAAAAAUCUUCAUAUUAUCUCACAUCUUAUAUAAACAAAUAAUUAGAAGAGAAUAUUCAUAAAAUUGCAUGGUUUUCACAACAUACAAACGUGGAAAUAAAAUAACCGGCAAAAUUCAAUUUCUAUUCAUGCGAAAUUUGAUCACAUUGGAAUACUUUAUAUACUUUUAUAAAUAAAAAAAGUUAAGGAAGAAACGUAUUCACCAAUAGAUAGAAGAACUAACUAACAUGAAUUAAAGAGAUAUUUAUAAUAAUAAUAAAAAUUAACCUGAAUUAUUUGCUACACAUCUGAAACAUUAAUAAGUAAAAUUCAUGGAGUUUCAUCGUUCAUCUCUUUUUCUGCCAUUUGAAAAUUUUGAAUAUUAGCAUGUCCUAUGAGAUAUGAAGAGAAUUGUGUUUUAAAUAGAUAACUAAGAAGUUUAAACUCCUACAAAAUAGUGAGGAAGUUAAAACUAUUUUCACAACUGCAACUUUUAUCUCUAAAACCGUUUAAUAUUUAAUUUUUAAAUUCAAGUCUUUUAAUUAUUUUAAAAAAACGUGUGUAGGUGUGUUUAUGAGUUAGUGGAGAUUUUUUUUUUAGUUGAGAGAUGGUUUAAAAAAUGUGUUACAACUCUAUUUUUUUAUUACUUCAAUUUUUUUAAUCAGUAAAUAUAGAAUAUAUAUAUUAUAAGUUGUAUUUUUUAAAAAUAUAUAUGUUUAUUUUAAAAUGCAAAUAAGAAAAAAUAAACAGUUACCGUGUUUAAGAUAAUUUUUAAAAUGUUUAAAAUUUUGUGUAUCAAUAAAAAUGGUUUUGCAGUUACAUUUCCCUUAUUUUAAAAAUUAUUUUAAAAUUAUAUAGAUUUAAUUCAUUUUAGAUAUAUAAAAAAUACGCUUUUUGUGGUGCUGACAUGUAGGCGCUAUCACCUCUCAUAUUAUAUAUAGAUAGAUACGUGCUUUGUCAAUCGUAUAAAUGCAAGGCGUCAUGCAUGACAAAAGAAUUAUCCUCAAACAUGUUUUUGUAUCUUUCUUUUGUGGGAAAUUAUAUUACAUUCAAACAUGAAAACGGUAGUGAGUUUGAAUUGUAUAAGGAAUAAACAAAUUCAAUUUAUUAUUGUUUUUCAAAAAAGAGAAUAAAUCAACCGUUUGUAACGAACAUGAUUUAAAAACUGUUUUAAAAUUUUAUUUAGUUUUUAUAUUAUUGUUUAUUAUUUAAUAUGUAUAGAAAUUAAAUUAUUAUUAAUUAUUUAAUAUAAUUAGAAAUUUUGUAGUGCCGACAUGUGGCACUAUUUCCUCUCCUAUUAUAUAUAGAUAGAUACGUGCUUUGUCGAUCGUAUAAAUCCAAGGCGUCAUGCAUGACAAAAGAAUUAUCCUCAAACAUGUUUUUGUAUCUUUCUUUUUCCUCUUUUUUCAAUCUUUACAUGCUCUUUUUAUGGUACACUUUGAAUAAUGGGAGUGACAGUGCCACUUCAUGCAUUACGUUCCCAUUACAAGGAAACUUCUUUGAUUUUAUUUCUAUUUUUUACAAAAAAAAAAAAAAAAACUUAAUUAAUUAACAUUUUAUAAUUUAAUUGGUGAGUUCAAAUUGUCAUUUAGAGCUGAUAUAUUCUUCGUUAUGAUGACUCAUAUAUACAUCUAGCUAUUGUUACACAAAUGACUAACAUAUACCUUUUACCUCUAACAAAAGUGAAAACAUAUUAAUUUUAAAUUAAUUUUUAUUAAUUUCUUAUUAAAAAAUCCAUGUAGGGGUAUAUUUGAUUCUUCUCACACUUUUUUUUUUACUUUCUAAAUUCAGUGGCUAAUUUAAAUUUAUUAUUUUGAUGGUCAAAUUUUUUUCCACUUAUUUUCUUGUAAAAUUUAUUAUAGAUGUCCCAAUUUAUGUUACGAUAUAAAAAAAAUUAAAUUACAAUAUAGCCGUAAAAAGGUAGUUUUAAUUUUUUUUUCUCCUUUUUCAUUCACACUUUUUUUUACACUAAAAAUGAAAGAAAAAAUGAAAUAAGAAUAAGAAAUUCAAAUAAUAAUAAUCAAAGAAGCCAAAAAAAUAAUUUAUGUGUGAAAAAUCAAAUACAUAAAUAUUUUAAUUAUUAAAAAUAAAAAAACAUUAAUUUAAAAUUAUUAUUUAUCACUUUUUGUAGCGGUAGGGGUAUGUGUGAGUCAAUUUUGUAAUGAUAAAUGUAUAUAUGAGCCACUUUUACAGCGAGAGUUAUACCAGCUCUAAAUGACAAAGUUAACGGUAUACUAGACGCUUUUCCCUUAAAUGUAAUUAGUUACACUCUAUUAUAACAAAUAAAUAUAUAUCUUUAUAUUUGAGCAACAAAUAGAAUAAUAAUAUUUUAAUUUACAUAAUCUAAAAAAAAUUGGUGCGAGGGCAAAUAUAAAUUAUUAAUUUUGAAACUAUUAAAUUUAAAAUAUUACUCUCCAAUCUGUAUUAAGUGAUGUUUUUAGCUUAAACCGAUUCAGGAGAGAAGGUGUGAAACCUAAAAGGAGGAGGAAGACUCCACUUCAAUUCAACGUUCUAAAAUAAUAUAAUAUUGACAAGUACUUACACAUCUUCUACGUAAUUUCCCAAUUUCUUGUAUUAAGUGAACAUAUUCUACAGUUAAGUCAUGCUAUUCACACUUGCUUCUACACUAUACCCCUCACUUUUUGAUUUUUCAUAAAUACCUUGAUUAUUUCACAAUCUUAUUUAUAUAUAUAGAUAUACGUCAGAUUUAAUCUCAAAGGCAAUUAAAUAUUUAAUUGUUGAUGCAUUCAAGUUAUUUUGAUAUGAAAGUGGGCAAUUACUUAUUCUCAAACAAGAAUAAUGAUGGGAAUAGUCAUGAUGAUAAUAAUUCUAGGAAUAAUAAGGCAUCAUCAUUGAGGUUGAGAUUCAAAAAUUCGUGUUUGAGGAAGAAGAAGAGGAUAUACAAAUUGCGUAAUUGGUUCAUUGACUCAAUUUUAUUCAAGAUUGUCUCUCUCUUUGAAGCAAUUGUUAUGGUUUCUACCUUAGCUUUCUUCUUAUUCUCUUAUGGUUUUUGUAUUUGAUAUAUUCUCUGUAAACCAAGGGUUCAUUAUUAUUGGACAAAAGUUGAUAUCUAAUGGGGUGUAAGGUUCAUUUGAUUUAUUUAGUUUUCUUUGCUGAUAUUCUCGUGUUUAUACACUAGGGUUCCCAUUUUGCCGUUCAGUUUUUCGAUUUCGACGUUUUCUUUAUUGUUCAUGACUCAAUAAAAUACAUAAUUCAAUAAAUAAGUAAACAACUUAUAUAUAAUAAAUUCGAAGUAUGAAUUCAAGUAAUUACAACAGUUGGGUUUUAAAAUGUGUCAAUGAGAAAUGAAGAGUUGUGACUUUUAUGAAAGGUUGUGACCUUUCCGAAAGAUUGUGGUUUUUCCAAAAGGUUGUGGCAUUUUCGGUAAGGUACAAUAAGAUCAUUUUCACACUACCCUUUGUUUUAUUAUAAAUUGAGGGAUUUCCUCUCAUUUUAAGAGAACCAAUUUUCUGGACUUCUUCUACUAUUACUACUAAAUCUAGUAUUCUAAGUGUAUAUUAUUGUUGUUGAGUGGUUCGCUGACACCGUAGUUUUAGGUACCAAUACACCGGUAAGUAAGAUCGUUCUAUUCUGGGAGGAUAUAUUUCAUUAACCUCGGGUACUUGAGGGGAAUAAUUUCCUUAAGGGGACACUGUGCAUUCAGUGGACUCAAUUUUCUUCUUUAAGAAAAUAUUUUGUAUAUUGUUUCUAAUAUGUUUCUGAUUCUAUUUUCUCUACUAGUUUUAAUUUUCUAGUUUUGAAAAUACUCUUUAAAUGUUGUUGUUUCUUAUCAAGUUCUUCAAAGUUUUUGUUCUAAGUAUCUUAGGAAUACAACAUGACCAACAAUCUUAAGGCAAUUAGUAUAGUACUAUUAAUACUAGAAAACUUGUCCGCGCUUCGCGCGGUAUAACAAUAAUUUAAAAUAAACUUUUUAUAAAUUACCUAUUCAUGAAAUAUAAGUUGCAGUACUUCAAGUUCAUAUGAUUUUUUUUUUUGCCAAAACCCUUAUAUUCAUAAGUUAUAAUAGUUAAUCAAUAAUAAGAAGGACAUUAAUAUUUUGAUAUAUUAUGUUAGCAAAAUAGAAAAUUAAUGAAUCAGAAAUAAUUUAACAAUCUAAAAGUGAUUACUUUUAAAUCUAUAAUACAAUAUGAAUAAAGCUUGAAUUUUGUAGGUCAUCAACUUUUAUUGAAAAAUAAAAAUAAAACUAAAAGUAUAAUAGUACUAUGAAUGACCCAGUAUCGACUAAAAGCAACAUUGAUAUUAAUUUGCUCAAAUCAAAUAAUAAGAAUAUCGACUAAGAACAACAUUGAUACUGGGUCAUUCAUAGAUUAUUUCUUAUUAUUUGAUCUGAGCAAAUUAAUAUCAAUGUUGCUUUUAGUCGAUACUGGGUCAUUCAUAGUACUAUUAUACUUUUAGUUUUAUUUUUAUAUUUCAAUAGACAUUUAAGAACAGCAUUGAUAUACUUAUAACAUAUAGAUAUCGAUCUUUAGUAGAAGAAAUAAUCUAAGAAUUCAAAAUAAAACGAUAAAUCAAAUUCUAUUUAUAUAUUAAAAAAAUACAUUUUUUAUGCAGUUUAUGACAAUUAAUUUUUGAAAUAAAUAAAGAAAUAAAAAAGUAAAAAGAAAAAAGAAAUGAUUUAAGGAAAUGAUACACAUAACAUUAUUGAUGAAUUUAAGGAAAGAAAUUUAAAAAAUUAAUAGCAUCAAUGAUGAAAUGAUUUAAAUAUGGGCGUAUUUGAUAAUUCAAUAAGGUUUUGAGGUAGAAUUUUUAGUCUUUCCAAAAUUUGGAAAAGUAUAAAAAAAAAUAGAAAAAUAAUAAAUAAACUUCCACAUAAUUUUUAACAAUUAGUAAGGAAAAUAUAACAGAAAAUGUCAAAAAAAAUUGAUUAAAAUAAACAAAUAUCUGAAAUAAGAAGGUUGUCAUCUUUUUCUAAUUUUAAUUUUAUUAUUACGCAUAUAUAUGAAUCUUUAGCCGAAAGAAGCGAUAUAAAUUAAAAAAGUUAAAUUUCAUAAAAAAAAAAUAUAUGUGAUUCUUACCAUGUUAUAAUUACUAAUUUCUUGUAAAAAAUAAAUUAAAAAAGGUAAAAGAAUUAUAAAAAAAAAAAGCAUUAAGGAAAUGAUAUGAAUGAAAGUAAUAAUCAAGAUGAAGUAAGAAAAAAUAAUAUGAUUGAUGAUGAAUGGAAUUAAAUGUAGUCACUUUGAUAUUCACUAAAAUUUGAAAGUAAAAUUUUCAGUUUUUUAAAAUAAUUCUUUUUAUAAAAUUUAAAAAACGAAAAAAAAACAAUAAAAUAAAACAAACUUCAAUCAAAGUUAUAUUAAAGAAAUAAAACAAACUUCAAUUAAAUUUCUUCAAUUAAAGUUAUAUAAAAGGGAAAAAAAACUACAAUUAAAGAUAGAUAGGGAAAAAACAUUUUAAGAGAAAAAUAACAAAAAAAAACGGAAAUUAGAAAUAAAUGACAAAUUAAAGUCUAUUUCUGUAUUAAAAAAUGCAUUUUUUAAAAUAAAGUUAUAACAAUUAAUUUUUAAAAUAAAUAAAUAAAAAGAACAAAGAAAGGAAAAAAUUAAUUUAAGGAAAUGAUAUAAAUUACAUUAAUGAUGAGUUUAAGGAAAGAAAAUUUUAAAAAUUAAUAGCAUCUAUGAUGAAAAGGAUUUAAAUAUGGUCAUAUUUUGAUAUUCUGCAAAAUUUUCAAGGUAAAAUUUUCAUUAUUUUUAAAAAAAUAGGAAAAAUGCACAAAAUAAGAAUUAGAAAAAUAAAUAAAUAAACUUCUAGACACAAUUUUUAGCAAUUAUUUUAAGAAAAUAUAAAGAGAAAAAUGUCAUAAAAAUAUGAUAAAAUAAAUAAAUAUAGGUUGUCAUCCUUUUCUAAUUUUAACUUUAUUAUUACGUAUAGAUAUGAAUCUUUUAACAGAAGAAAUGAUCUAUGUUUAAAUAAAAUAAACUAAAUUUCGUAAAAUAUAUAUGCAAUUCUUACCAAUUUAUAAUAACUAUUUUCUUGUAACAAAAAAAUAAAUAAAAAGUAAGAAAGAAAGAAAGAGAAAAAAGCAAUUUAAAGAAAUGAUAUAAAUGAGAAUAAAGAGAUCAAACUAAGGCAAGGAAGUAAAAAAAAAGUAUGAUUAAUGAUGAAUGAAAUUAAAUAUUCAAUAAAUUUGAAAGUGAAAUUUUCAGUCGUUUAAAAUUAAAAAAAAUAUAUUAAAUUUAAAAACAAAAACAAAAAACUACAAAAAUAUAGACAAACUUCUGUUAAAAAUAUAUAAAAGAUAAUAAAACAAACUUUAAUUAAAGAUAGAUAAGGAAAAAUAAAUAAUUAUUAAUUUUGAAUCUGUCAACUUAAAAAUGUUACUCCCUUAAGUCAUACUAGGUGAUGUUUUUAGCUUCGAUAAAUCUAAAAAAGCAUGUGAAAUGUCAUUAAAAAAAUAAUUUAAUUCAACGAUAUAAAAUAAUAUUAACAAGUACGUACAUAUCUUCUACGUGAUUCCCACUUUCUUUGAAUUCACUAUCUCUUUCCUAAAGGGUGCAAUUAAGUCAUGCUAUUCAUAAAGGGUGCAUCCAGCCCCCCACUUUUGAUAAUUCAUAAAUACCUUUUUUCCACAACCUUAUAUAUAGGUACACCAAAACCCCCUCAUUGCCUCAUCAAACUCAUCAUCUAUAUUGUUCUAUAUCCAAAGAAACAAACUAAGUCAAGAAUCCAAGUGAAAAUAGUUGUUACAUUCAAGUUAUUUAGAUAUGAAAGCAGAAGGUUAUUUGUUGUCACUCAAGAUGCUAAACAAGAACAAUAUUGAAAAUAUUAGCGCGCCUAAACGUGUUAGCAAUGUUGGUGGUUCUCAAGAUGAAAAUAAUUGUAGUACUAAGACAUCAUCGUUGAGGUUGAGAUUCAAGAAUUCGUGUUUGAGGAAGAAGAAGAGAAUAUACAAAUUGCGCAAAUGGUUCAUUGACUCAAUUUUAUUCAAGAUUGUCUCUCUUUUUGAAGCAAUUGUUAUGGUUUCUACCUUAGCUUUCUUCUUAUUCUCUUAUGGCUUUCGUAUUUAAUUCUUAUUUGUAUCUAUAUAUAUUCUCUGUAAACAAGGCUUCAUUUUGGACAAAAGUGGAUAUGUAAUGGGGUGUAAGGUUCAUUUGAUUUAUUAAUUUAGUUUUCUUUAUUGAUAUUCUCAUGUUUAUACACUAGGAUUCCCAUUUUUCGAUUUAGACAUUUUCUUUUUUGUUCAUGACUCAAUAAAAUGCAUACUUAAACAAA
rnacentral:lncRNA from 1 species